UCCCAGCCAAACUUUGGUCUCGUCUGAAGGCACUCAAUCGCGCCGGCUUGUUACUUGAGGGGGCGGCUACCAUAGGUUGCCUGCCUGAUCAUAUAUUAUUUUAUCCAAAUACUUUUCCUGAUCAUAUACUCCUCUAGGGAACGACGACUCUGAGAACUCUUCCGAGGAAGCCGCUGCGGAAGUAGAAGCCAAUGCGAAAGUUGGUGACGAGGACCAAGACGCCCCUGUUGAAAUCUCCUUUUCUUCUUCCUCUGACUCCCAAGACUCGUUCGAUGAGAUGGCCGAUCGCCGCGCAAGCCACCAAGCUCGUCUCAAAUCCUGAACUUCUGCUGCUGACAUGGGCAAAGCCCCAACCUCCACCUCCACUGCUCCAAAUCCGUCUCUGACGGCUCCCCGACCUCCAGCCCCUUUGAUUAUUGGGGCAAGCCCAACUGCCGCCGUCACUUCCUCUCCAAAUCAACAACCUCGCCGGCAGACCAUCGGCUCCAAACGGCCUUCUGACUUGGCCACCGCCACCACCUCCAAAAAGAUCAAGCUUAGCCUGGAGGCCUCUUCUGACGACGGUGUCGUCAAAGGGAAGUUUCCCAUGUUCAACUUGUUAGAGCAUGUGAUCUUCCCUAAGGACCAGAAGUCGUUAGAGGAUGCUAACCCUAUCUAGGUUCUCCAGUCAACUACGUUUCACAGCUAUUAGGCACAAAUGGCUCAUGCCGAGCUUCGCGGCAGGGUUAAUCCACUAAUGGUAGACUCGGAGCCCCUCAGGUCGAUCAAGGCUAUUCAUGCUAAGCCGACCGACUCAUUUUGACGGUCCGUCGAUCUCCAUUAAUUAGGUCUGAUCUUACUGUCUUAAGUCACCCCAUGUCGACCGCCUUCUCCUUUUGAUUAUUUAACUUCUACUCACCCAUCAAAGUAUAUUGUAUGUAGUCUAGAAGGGUUUAAGAAUCUUGGGUUAGAUACUCCUACAGUAGUUACAAUGGAGGAUAUUAGUUGUCCUUAUAAGAAGAAGUGUAUGAUUUCGAAUAAGGUAUGGUGUAAGGCUAGGGUACGGUGAUGCUGAUGUAGAACAAUAACGAUGGAAAACAGAGAAGUUCUUCAAAUAAAAAACUGAUUACAUAACA